GUUCCAAUGAGAAUGAAGACUGAGGUGUGCGCCUUUUUUUUCUCUCUCUCACUUUUUAAAUUUUUUUUAUUUUUUUGAGUCUCAAUCGUGUGGACAUCACUGGGAAUGGAGGGAAAUAACUGACUGAAUGGUCGUUGCUUUUAAGUUUCAAACCGACAUUCCAGGCGGGUUGUGUCUGAGCCAGCCUCGGGCUUUCAGACCUUCACAGCCUGGUCCUGAGAAGGUAGAGCUCUCAGCUUCUCCCUGGUCUGAGCAGCAGAUUGAAGUGCAAAGCCCAUUUUUUGGGAGAGGUUGGACCGGUUGUAUUCAUGAAUCAAGCCAUCCCUCUGUCUGUCUCUGAACCUGUUCUUUCACUUGUUUGGGGGAAUUAAGGAAUAACUGGGAGAUGAAACAGGAAACUUUAUGACACACUUGCUUGAAAAUGACACAGGACUCAGCCCCUCUGCAUCACCUCUACCUGCUGCCCACAGCCGAGUGCGGGGGAAGGGCUGGCCCUGGGACCUGAUUCCAACCGCCGUGGACUCGACGUUCAGUGUGAUGUGUCUGCCAUACUGUGGUCAUGGGCUAGUCUGGUCGGUUUCCUAUGUAGCUGGCCACUCUCAGUGUAUCUUUGCCCCUUUUCCUUCAUUAAAAGCAUAACU
rnacentral:lncRNA from 1 species